rnacentral:rRNA from 2 species
UAAAGCCGAACGUCCUCAAAGCUGUUAUACGCUUCCGAAAGAACGAAGUUCUCCAACGAAAGUAGCUUUAAUUCCCAACCUGACCCCACGAAAGCUGUGAAACAAACUGGGAUUAGAUACCCCAUUAUGCCCAGCCUCAAACUUUGAUAGCACCAUACAUCAGCUAUCCGCCGGGGGACUACGAGCAAUUAGCUUAAAACCCAAAGGACUUGGCGGUGCUUUAGACCCCCCUAGAGGAGCCUGUUCUAGAACCGAUAACCCCCGUUCAACCUCACCCCCUCUUGCCAUUUCCGCCUAUAUACCGCCGUCGUCAGCUUACCCUUUGAAGGACCCAAAGUAGGCCUAAUUAGUAAUACCCAAAACGCCAGGUCGAGGUGUAGCUUACGAGGGGGGAAGAAAUGGGCUACAUUCCCUACAUUAGGGCAUACGGACAGUGUGAUGAAAAACACACUCUUACAAGGAGGAUUUAGUAGUAAGCAGAAAAUAGAGCGUUCUGCUGAAACCGGCCCUGAAGCGCGCACACACCGCCCGUCACUC